CAAUCGUUUCCCCUGUAAUUGUUCUAAUUUUUCUUAUUGCAAGUAUUAUGAUCUUCCUCGUGCAAGUGUUUCGAUCCUUUCUAUUGUCCUUUUUAUUGUAAGCUUUCUAAUUUUUCCUAUUGCAAGUGUCCUGAUCUUUCCUUACUGCAAUUUUAUCUCUACAUUUGAUUUGAAUAUGAGGAACUUUGAAUUGUUCUAGCCUUGCAUUUGAUAUAUCUCUUGUUUAGACAUAUCGAUCCGAAUCUGUGCAACUUUUGAGAUUCUGGCCUUUCUACCUUAUUAUGAUUAUAACUUCAUGUAUUGACCUCUGAUUUGGACAAAAAUUAUUUGAUCAGAAUAUAUACUCAUAAACCUUUCUUUUGAUAGCUUUGUUGAGUAUAUUGGAGCACGAUUGAUAGUUUGAAUCAUUUGUUCAAUGUGCCUCUUGAAUUCUACCAGAAAUCGAGCUUUGGUCGAUUUCGUAUAUUCUGGUUUCAUUCCUUUGGAAAUUGAUAUCCUUUAGCUUUCUUAUUCAAUUGAGCCUUAUAUUACUGCUUUGAAUUCUUGUAUGCUCUUGUCCUACAUGUAUUUGGAUACCUAAAUCUGUUAAUGUAAACUUCAUGUUUGUAUCAUAAUGUUUCAUAUAGACACAUGCAUUCCGUUGUUCCGCAUGUGUCUCCGAUAUAUCCCAAUUUAUUGUUCACGAUACCCUUUUGUACUCUGGUGUUUGUGAGAUUAUUUGGACCUUUGCCAGAAAUGGUAAAGGGUAUGUGCUUAGAGUCCGCGAUGCUCUAGAUUAUGUUUGGUGGUCAUUCAGAAAUGGAUGGACCAUAUUAUGUUUGGAAUCCCACUUCACCAUCUAUCUGUUUGAUAUGAAAUUCAGAGUUGACCUAGCACUUGGGCAGGGUGAGAGGGCUCGAGUAGGAAAGGGCUACCCGUGGAUGGAGUCGAGAACUCAUCACGGCGUGGAGCCACCACUGAGUUAAACCUCACAUGCACUAUGCUAGGGUCAACUUGUCACUCUUUGAGAUGUUUGAAUUGGGCUGAGGCAGUGGAGAGCUAUUCAGAAUUAUGGGCAAGUCUUGUUGGUUAUUAUGUUAUUGUUGUAUAAGUAUAUUUUGUAUGUAAUGAAAUGUUGUCGAUGAACCGAAAUGACCUUGUAAAAGUGUUAGAAGAUCUCUCUUAUUUGGAAUUUCGGAAUAUUAAGUCUUGUUUACGAUGAUAUGAACUUGUGGUAAAUGGUUGGAGUUAUGAUUGUAUAAAUUACAUAGCUUAUGGAUUUAUAAAUGUUGUUCAUGUUUGUUAA